rnacentral:rRNA from 1 species
GCAGCAGUGGGGAAUUUUGGACAAUGGGGGAAACCCUGAUCCAGCCAUCCCGCGUGUGCGAUGAAGGCCUUCGGGUUGUAAAGCACUUUUGGCAGGAAAGAAACGUCKCGGGUUAAUACCCCGCGAAACUGACGGUACCUGCAGAAUAAGCACCGGCUAACUACGUGCCAGCAGCCGCGGUAAUACGUAGGGUGCAAGCGUUAAUCGGAAUUACUGGGCGUAAAGCGUGCGCAGGCGGUUCGGAAAGAAAGAUGUGAAAUCCCAGAGCUUAACUUUGGAACUGCAUUUUUAACUACCGGGCUAGAGUGUGUCAGAGGGAGGUGGAAUUCCGCGUGUAGCAGUGAAAUGCGUAGAUAUGCGGAGGAACACCGAUGGCGAAGGCAGCCUCCUGGGAUAACACUGACGCUCAUGCACGAAAGCGUGGGGAGCAAACAGGAUUAGAUACCCUGGUAGUCCACGCCCUAAACGAUGUCAACUAGCUGUUGGGGCCUUCGGGNCCUUGGUAGCGCAGCUAACGCGUGAAGUUGACCGCCUGGGG